GACGUAGGGCGCGAGCGUUGUCCGGAUUUAUUGGGCGUAAAGAGCUCGUAGGCGGCUUGUCGCGUCGACUGUGAAAACCCAUGGCUCAACCAUGUGGUCUGCAGUCGAUACGGGCAGGCUAGAAUUCGGUAGGGGAGACUGGAAUUCCUGGUGUAGCGGUGAAAUGCGCAGAUAUCAGGAGGAACACCGGUGGCGAAGGCGGGUCUCUGGGCCGAUAUUGACGCUGAGGAGCGAAAGCCGUGGGGAGCGAACAGG
rnacentral:rRNA from 1 species